CACCUGCCCUGGCCUGUGCUGUCUUUCCCCCAGCCAAGGAAGCUCAUGCCUGGGCACUCUGGGCAGCGGCCCAGCCUUUCACAUCCAGGUCCAGGGCCAAGAGACAUGGGCCAACAGCUGGCAGUAUGCAGAAGGAGCCUGGAGGCUUCCACAGCAGAUGAAUCACCACGGAUUAAUAUUUAACUCCAGACUCCUGCUCCCCUCUAGCGUCCCCCUCCCCCUUCUCUCUUCUUACCACCUUCCUUCUCCCUGUAUCCAUCACUCCAUCCCCCAGUCCUGCAGCCUUUCAGCAGGUUCCUCUCGGCCACCCUUCUACUGCACCAUCAUCAUCGUCCAGCAUGAUGUCCAAAACCACUGUGAGUUUCAGCGGCAAGAGGUGUAGUUUGAGUUGUCACGACAACCUGCGCCUGGCUCAUGGCUGCCUUCCAAGUGCAGACAAAGCUGUCGUCGAAUGAACCAGGCGUGUGUCCACCGGACCUGAGGGGUGCCGCCACCGCUAACAAAACACACAAAGACCCUCGCCCCUGGCACUGGCCCUCACCCCGUCUACCCGCUAUCCUGUCCCUCCCACACUCGGCUGCCUGCUGCUUUGUGCCUGCUCCAAGAAGAGGAAGUUCCUCUCAUCUCCUU